UCCACCUUAUCCUCAUGUUCAUCUCCCCCAGUGGUUCCAGGUGAACAAGAGGACAAACUUGCGUUGCUGAGCUAUAGAACAUGAAAGAAGGAUUACAUCAGGAGGAAGGUGCAGCGUGGAGGGGCUGCACUGUGGAAGACGCGUGUGGAGAAGCUGUUAUGUAUGCUGGCACAUCUGACUUAGAAGGUACCAUGUUCCCAGUCCAGAUACUGUCUCUAACCCUCUAGGAAUUGUCUAACUCUGCAAAACUCUCCUCAUUCUAGCUUGUUCUGCUACAUUAGAGAAGUGACCAUAUUCUGCAAGAGUGUUGAGAGAGAAAAGUGACAGCAUCUUUUUGUGAAGGUAUGAUUCCUCUGUGACAUCUCACGGUAACA
rnacentral:sRNA from 1 species